rnacentral:lncRNA from 1 species
CUCAGCAGCCUCAGGGUGGGCUCAGGGGAAGGCUCCCAUACCCUGAGCCACUGCCUGUGCCAGGGUGGCCGGGUUAACCUCCCUUGUGAUGCUCACACGGAAGCCCAGAGGGUGUGGAGUGGAGAUGGGCAUUGGGGCUGUGCCACCCGUGGUGACACAGAGCCCUGCUGUGCAGCUCCAGCCCAACCCCACUGCGCUCAGGGCUGAUGCAGUGGGGUAAGCUGGGGAAACGGGCUGCAGGAGGAGCCUUUGGUGCAUGGGGAGCUCCUGCUCUGCAUCUCCGCACAGUGCCUCAUUCCCGUGUCCUAAUUGCAGCCAGUGAGUCUGCCUGCAGCACUGGCAGCGGUGGGGCACAGGGGUGGGGGCUGCUCUGUCUCUUUGGGCGAUGCUGAGCGCUGCGGUGAGGGAUGUGGGGCAGUGCGUGGUGGGCUGUGUGGGUGUCCCACCCCCUGCCCCCCUGUGCCCAGGUUGUCCCCCCUCCGUCCCCAAGCUCUGCAAGGCUGGACCUGCCCAACUUCGUCGUCCCUGUGGGUGCAGCAGUCCCUGCCCCAGCGCUGCCUGCCCCAACCUCGGUGUUCCCAGCACUCAGGGAUGGCAGCAGGACACAAACGUGCCCCGCGCUGUUUUGUUCAGGUCCGACACAAACAACGGUGGUAGAUUUCCUCUGUGUCAGCAGCGCAGCUGUCCUGCGAGCCUCCUGCAGGGUGAGGGCAGCAAGGUGGUGACAGCUGUGUCCGGAGUGAGGUGCCAGGGCCCCCUGGGACCUCAGGGCAUCACUUUACAUAGGCACAAUAGCAGCUGGGUGAAUUGCAGGGCCCGUGGUGCCUCUGCUGUUGGGUGCUGGAGUGCAUCUCGUACGAUGUUAAAUCUGGUGGCACCCACCAUGGUGCACCACAGGCAGAAAUGGGAUCCUCGCGGCCGCCCCUUCCCCCCCCCCAGCACCUUACACUGCCGACACCAUCUGCAGCGCAACAAGAAAUCCCAAGCCAUACAUGUUUAAUUUUCUACAACACAGCAGCCAUUUCAGCCACACACCCAGAAAGGAUCUUUAAUGAGAAGCGAGGAGAGAGAGCACGCAGCACGCAGGAGAGCCGAGGCACUAUGGAAACACUCUGCUCCCUCCCGGCUGCCUGCCGCUGCUCCGAGUUCAGCCCGGAGAACUUCCCUGCACUGCUGGAGGUUGAUGAGGAGGGAUUGCCGUGACCCCGUGCCUGUGACAGUCGUUUCAGGGCCCCCGGGGGGGCUGUGAGCGCGGCCCCCGGUGCCGGUGCCGGUGCCGGCCGCCC